UCCCUGAGAAUACUCUGGCAGCU
rnacentral:miRNA from 1 species